rnacentral:rRNA from 1 species
GACGAACGCUGGCGGCGUGCUUAACACAUGCAAGUCGAACGGAAAGGCCCUGCUUUUGUGGGGUGCUCGAGUGGCGAACGGGUGAGUAACACGUGAGUAACCUGCCCUUGACUUUGGGAUAACUUCAGGAAACUGGGGCUAAUACCGGAUAGGAGCUCCUGCUGCAUGGUGGGGGUUGGAAAGUUUCGGCGGUUGGGGAUGGACUCGCGGCUUAUCAGCUUGUUGGUGGGGUAGUGGCUUACCAAGGCUUUGACGGGUAGCCGGCCUGAGAGGGUGACCGGCCACAUGGGGACGGGGAUCCGGCCCAGACGCCUACGGGAGGCAGCAGUGGGGAGUAUUGCACAAUGGGCGGAAGCCGGAUGCAGCAACGCCGCGUGCGGGAUGAGGGCCUUCGGGUUGUAAACCGCUUUCGCCUGUGACGAAGCGUGAGUGACGGUAAGGGGUAAAGAAGAACCGGCUAACUACGUG